CCGCGUGAGUGAUGAAGGCUUUCGGAUCGUAAAGCUCUGUUGUUAGGGAAGAACAAGUACCGUUCGAAUAGGGCGGUACCUUGACGGUACCUAACCAGAAAGCCACGGCUAACUACGUGCCAGCAGCCGCGGUAAUACGUAGGUGGCAAGCGUUGUCCGGAAUUAUUGGGCGUAAAGGGCUCGCAGGCGGUUUCUUAAGUCUGAUGUGAAAGCCCCCGGCUCAACCGGGGAGGGUCAUUGGAAACUGGGGAACUUGAGUGCAGAAGAGGAGAGUGGAAUUCCACAUGUAGCGGUGAAAUGCGUAGAGAUGUGGAGGAACACCAGUGGCGAAGGCGACUCUCUGGUCUGUAACUGACGCUGAGGAGCGAAAGCGUGGGGAGCGAACAGGAUUAGAUACCCUGGUAGUCCACGCCGUAAACGAUGAGUGCUAAGUGUUAGGGGGUUUCCGCCCCUUAGUGCUGCAGCUAACGCAUUAAGCACUCCGCCUGGGGAGUACGGUCGCAAGACUGAAACUCAAAGGAAUUGACGGGGGCCCGCACAAGCGGUGGAGCAUGUGGUUUGAUUCG
rnacentral:rRNA from 1 species